AGUGAACGCUGGCGGUAGGCCUAACACAUGCAAGUCGAACGGCAGCACAGUAAGAGCUUGCUCUUACGGGUGGCGAGUGGCGGACGGGUGAGGAAUACAUCGGAAUCUACUUUUUCGUGGGGGAUAACGUAGGGAAACUUACGCUAAUACAGCAUACGACCUACGGGUGAAAGCAGGGGAUCUUCGGACCUUGCGCGAUUGAAUGAGCCGAUGUCGGAUUAGCUAGUUGGCGGGGUAAAGGCCCACCAAGGCGACGAUCCGUAGCUGGUCUGAGAGGAUGAUCAGCCACACUGGAACUGGGACACGGUCCAGACUCCUACGGGAGGCAGCAGUGGGGAAUAUUGGACAAUGGGCGCAAGCCUGCUCCAGCCAUACCGCGUGGGUGAAGAAGGCCUUCGGGUUGUAAAGCCCUUUUGUUGGGAAAGAAAAGCAGCAGGUUAAUACCCCGCUGUUCUGACGGUACCCAAAGAAUAAGCACCGGCUAACUUCGUG
rnacentral:rRNA from 1 species